AUGGAGUGUGACAGUUCUUGGUCUUCGUCGGAAGAGUGAUCCUGACGCGGGGCCGGGGUACUGAAUUUGGAGGAUUUUUUAUGUUUGGCAGACGCCUUACCCUUGGCUGGUUUGGGUGUAUUGUCCUUGCCUCUUCCGUGGCGUUUACUGGGACGGUAGUCCUCCCUGGCAUGGUAGUCCGAGACAUCGGAGUCUGACUCGUGGCGUGGGCGUCUGCGAGAAGAUUUGGGUAAAUCCAGAGCCG